CUGCACAUCUGUUACAUAAAUCACUCGCCAUGAAGUUGUGUUCAAAUAUCAUUAAAAGCGAUUAUUCGAAGUCUUGUGGGAUCAAUAAGUUUCAGGCGCCUUAAUAAAGAGUUUCGAUCUGCCGAGCUGAUACUGCGAUCUAUCGAUAUGUAUACUCCCCAAUAUCCACUCCACGCCUUGCUUUUCAUCGCCAGGCCAACGAGGCCACGUUUCUUUGGAAUAAACCGGAUAACAUCGAAGAAGUUAUUAUACCUGAUGCUUGACCCGCAGCUGAUCCCAAUCGCGCGGCUUCUUCGUCUCGUUCG